UACGUAGGUGGCAAGCGUUAUCCGGAAUUAUUGGGCGUAAAGCGCGCGCAGGUGGUUUCUUAAGUCUGAUGUGAAAGCCCACGGCUCAACCGUGGAGGGUCAUUGGAAACUGGGAGACUUGAGUGCAGAAGAGGAAAGUGGAAUUCCAUGUGUAGCGGUGAAAUGCGUAGAGAUAUGGAGGAACACCAGUGGCGAAGGCGACUUUCGGGUCUGUAAAUGACAAUGAGGCGCGAAAGCGUGGGGAGCAAACAGG
rnacentral:rRNA from 1 species